rnacentral:lncRNA from 1 species
GUCUGCGGAGCCUGCUGAUGCGAUGGACCUGGCGAGGGAUGGCGAAGAGGUCAGCAGGAGAGAGAGGCGAGUGAAUGGAGGACGCAGGCGAUUGAGAAGAAGAUACAAGCAAGAGAGGUAACAGGAGAAGAUCUGGGACCAAAUUGGUCCAUUAACUUAAUUUGUGAAAUCAAAUUGAAAAGAAAGAAAGAGAAAUUAAGAAAAAGAGAAGAAACCCUACGAAUCAAAAGAAUUGGCAGGUGGAGGGUUAUAUUUUGAGAGGCUUGCGAAUUGAGGGUUAAAAUAUACGAGGUGUACGAAUUCAGUGUCAAAUAUCAAAAUUU